GUCAGUUCCUGCGUGCAUGUGCGCCCGGCGCGUCUCCCGCGUAGAGCCUUAGGUAGACAGGCUGCAGUGUGGUGUUGGAAGCGGGAUAGGAAGCAUGCGUGGCAUUCUCGCGCGCCCGACACCGUGAAUGCCUUAGAAUGCUCUGCUGGAGGGACGUGACGAGGUGAACAUAGGAAAAUGUCGCCCCUACGCGCAUAGACUUCCAAGAUGAGAUCAGAACCACCUCAUCAGGUUGCGCUAUAUUCCCAAUUAGUGACGAAGCGCGGGCAGCUGAUCAGCUCCGACUGGUGAAUCGCAUUGGCAGCAAAUGCAUGAAUUAAUCUAGCAGGACAGGAAGAGGAAAUUCCCAGCAUGGAGUGGUUUGCUCUUGGGUUAUCAAGGACCCACGCCAUCUUUGCUGUUAAGGAGGACACGAAGAGAUUCGCUACCUCUUCAGGACGGCAGAGACAUCUGGCAUGUCGGGGGCUGACAGGAGGCCAGCAUUGAUGAGACAAUAAUUGCGCGGUUUUAUUUUUCGCUUUAGUUGUUCCUUUACUGUUUCUCUUCUGUUUUCAGAAGAGGCGAUACAAAAAUUACAUUCUUCUUGGGUACUUCGAAGUAGUUCAUGUGAUCAGUUUCGAAUGCAUGUCUAUUCUAUCAAUUCUUGAUUCUUGUCAUUAAAGAGAGAGAGAGAGAGAGAGAGAGAGAGAGAGAGAGAGAGAGAGAGAGAGAGAGAGAGAGAGAGAGAGAGAGAGAGAGAGAGAGAA